UACGAAGGGGGCGAGCGUUUGUUCGGAUUUACUGGGCGUAAAGGGCGCGUAGGCGCCUUGUCAGUCAGGCGUGAAAGCCCCGGGCUCAACCUGGGAACGGCGCUUGGGACGGCGAGGCUGGAGUUCGGGAGAGGAGAGUGGAAUUCCCAGUGUAGAGGUGAAAUUCGUAGAUAUUGGGAAGAACACCGGUGGCGAAGGCGGCUCUCUGGACCGACACUGACGCUGGAGGCGCGAAAGCGUGGGGAGCAAACAGG
rnacentral:rRNA from 1 species